CUGACUCGGAGCCAGCCGCGGCGGUCAUACGGGUGAUCCAAGCGGUAUCCUGAAUUAGUGGGCGUAAAGAGUGGCGUAGGUUGCAGAGUAAGUUGAUAGUGAAAGCGUCCGGCUCAACCGGAUAUCCAUUAUCAAAACUGCUCAGCUAGAGGACGAGAGAGGUUAUUGGAAUUCCUAGUGUAGGGGUAAAAUCCGUUGAUAUUAGGAGGAACACCGAUGGCGUAGGCAGAUAACUGGCUCGUUCCUGACACUAAGGCACGAAAGCGUGGGUAGCAAACAGGAUUAGAUACCCUUGUAGUC
rnacentral:rRNA from 1 species